GCAGCGGCCAAGGCGGUGUGGACACGUCAGGCCGGAGGAGGGCGCUGAGACAAAUUUACAUGUAUUGAAGACCAGACCAGAAGUACUUCUGAAUUAAGAUCUGAAUUCUUUGAGGUGGCGUUAAAGAGCACUAAGACCAGAAGAUGAGUGAACUUGACCAAUUACGGCAGGAGGCCGAACAGCUUAAAAACCAAACUAGAGAUGCCAGAAAAGCAUGUGCAGAUGCAACUCUCUCUCAGAUCACACACAACAUUGACCCUGUGGGAAGAAUUCAAAUGCACACUAGGAGAACGCUGACGGGGCACUUGGCCAAGAUCUAUGCUAUGCAUUGGGGCACAGACUCCAGGCUUCUUGUCAGUGCCUCAUAGGAUGGUAAACUUAUCAUCUGGGAUAGCUAUACCACAAACAAGGUCCACGCCAUCCCUCUAUGCUCCUCCUGGGUCAUGACUUGUGCAUACGCCCCUUCUGGGAACUAUGUGGCCUGUGGUGGCUUGGAUAACAUUUGUUCCAUUUACAAUCUGAAAACUCGUGAAGGGAAUGUACGUGUGAGUCGUGAGCAGGCAGGAUGUGAGCUGGCAGGACAUAUAGGUUACUUGUCCUGCUGCCGGUUCCUGGAUGACAAUCAGAUUGUCACCAGCUCUGGAGACACUAUAUGUGCCCUGUGGGACAUGGAGACCGGCCAGCAGACAACCACGUUCACUGGACACGCUGGAGAUGUCAUGAGCCUUUCUCUCGCUCCUGACACCAGACUGUUUGUCUCUGGUGCUUGUGAUGCUUCAGCAAAGCUCUGGGAUGUUCCAGAAGGGAUGUGCUGACAAACUUUCACUGGCCACGAGCAUUUGCCACCAGCUCAGAUGAUGCAACCUGCAGGCUGUUUGACCUCUGUGCAAACCAAGAGCUCAUGACUCCCAUGACAACAUCAUCUGUGGAUCACCUCCGUCUCCUUCUCCAAGAGUGGACGCCUGCUCCUCGCUGGGUAUGACGACUUCAACUGCAACGUGUGGGAUGCACUCAAAGCUGACUGGGCGGGCAGGUGUGUUGGCUGGACAUGACAACUGCUUCAGCUGCCUAGGGGUAACUGACGAUGGCAUGGCUAUGGGGACAGGAUCCUGGGACAGCUUCUUGAAGAUCUGGAACUAACUCCAGGAGCAUGUGGACGCCACACUACAGAGACUGGAAGACCAUUCAACCCUUGAUGCAUUGCAGUGAGAGCAUAUCCUAUCCAACUGUACUAAUGUGGACACCCUACACCUCCCCUCAGAACUACAAAAGGACAAGAUCUUUUUUCCUUCACUGAUUGCUGAAACCAAGAGCACAAUUCCCAUUAAGAGGAGGAUCUCUUUGCUGUAAACUAAACAAAUUGUGCAUUCCUUCCAGGGCCCUUCGUCUUUGUUUUAUUUUUUGUCUUGAAUUUUAAAAGGAAAUACUAUAAUAAAAAUAUUAACCAGAA